GCAUUAAAUGAAUGCCUAAACAUCAAAAUAAUUGUGGACGUUUUUCAAACGAAAUUUCUAGUGAGUAUUAAAAAUGCUGAGACCUAGAUAUGUCCAUGUUAGAAAACUAAGCUUUAAUAAUUAAGCUUUUUAUAUUGGUUAAAUUAUAUAAUUAAUGUAAAAUAUUAAUAUUUAGUGAACUGAAUCAUCUAAGUAACUAAAUAAAAAAAUCAACCGAGAACCCGUAAGUAGUGGCGAGCGAAAGCGGAUAAGACUUUCCAAAAUUAAUUAUAAUUUGAAUUUUAAGCCAAAGAAGGUAAUUAAGCCCUGUAAAAUUUAAAUUAAUUUUGGGUAUUAGUAAAACGGUGCCAGUCGUGCAUUGUUUAAAUAAUGGGGGACCACCCUCAAGUCUAAAAAAUUUUGAUGAUUGAUAGUGUAUAGUACCGUGAGGGAAAGGUGAAAUUAAAAUUUAUUAAUAUAAAUUAAAACCUGAAAUUUAAUGCUGACAAGCAGUUGAAGCUUUUAAAAGUAACAGCGUACCUUUUGCAUAAUGGAUCAACAAGUUUAUUUUAGUGGCGAGCUUAAACAUAUUAUUUGUGUAGGCUGAAAGAAAUUAAGUUUUAAAAAGCUUUUAAGUCUCUAAAAUAAGACCCGAAACUAAGUGAUCUAACCAUGAGCAGGCUGAAUUUAUAGCGGUAACGCUUAUUGGAGGGCCGAACCCGUGUAUGUGGAAAAAUACUGGGAUGACUUGUGGUUAGGGGUGAAAGGCCAAUCAAACUUAGAGAUAGCUGGUUUUCUGCGAAAUCUAUUUAAGUAGAGCGUUUAAAAACUUUAUUUUAAGGUAGAGCACUCAAUAAAUAAUGGGGGCGUAAAGCUUUACUGAAUUUAAUGAAACUCCGAAUAUUUAAUAAAAGAAAUUAAACAGACAGACUUUGAGUGCUAAGAUUCAAAGUCAAGAGGGAAACAGCCCAGAUUAUUCGUUAAGGUCCUCAAAAAUAAUUAAGUGAAAAAACUGUUAAAAACUAAAAACAUCCGGUAGGUAGGCUUGGAAGCAGCCAUCCUUUAAAGAAAGCGUAACAGCUCACUCAUCAAGCGAUCCUGCGCCGAAAAUGUAACGGGGCUAAAGCCAUUUACCGAAAUUGUGGGCUUCUUUUAGAAGCGGUAGCGGAGCGUUCCGUAAGCCUGUGAAGGUGACCUGUGAGGGUUGCUGGAGGUAUCGGAAGUGAGAAUGUUGACAUGAGUAGCGACAAAGCGGGUGAGAGACCCGCUCGCCGAAAAUCCAAGGGUUCCUGCGUAAAGCUAAUCUGCGCAGGGUUAGCCGGCCCCUAAGGCGAGGCGGAAACGCGUAGCCGAUGGGAACCACGUUAAUAUUCGUGGGCCGAGGAGUGUGUGACGGAUUUCGAAAGUUGUCAUCCCUUAUUGGAUUGGGAUGGCGGCCUGGAAGUCCCAGGAAAUAGCCCUCCAUUAAGACCGUACCCUAAACCGACACAGGUGGAUAGGUAGAGAAUACCAAGGCGC
rnacentral:rRNA from 1 species